rnacentral:rRNA from 1 species
UACGGAGGGUGCAAGCGUUAUCCGGAUUUACUGGGUUAAAGGGUGCGCAGGCGGAUAUGUAAGUCAGUGGUGAAAUCUCUAGGCUUAACCUGGAAAUUGCCGUUGAUACUAUAUAUCUUGAAUGCUGUGGAGGUAAGCGGAAUAUGUCAUGUAGCGGUGAAAUGCUUAGAUAUGACAUAGAACACCUAUUGCGAAGCAGCUUACUACGCAGAUAUUGACGCUCAUGCACGAAAGCGUGGGGAUCAAACAGG